GCUCGGGUGGCGAAAUUGGCAAACGCGGUAGGCUCAGAACCUACUGCCCGAUUGGGCUUGCGGGUUCAAGUCCCGCCCCGAGCA
rnacentral:tRNA from 1 species